CUUAUAAAUUCUGCGCAUCCUCAAUGAGAAGCUAAAUUAGGUACAAACUACAAACCCGGUAAAUCUUGCUGCGGCAUUGAGGGAGGGAGAGAUGACAAGGGGAAAACAAAAGAUCGAGGCUCAGAGGAAAAAUGCCGAGAAGAAUCAGAAAGGAAAAGGGUCUCAGCUUGAAGCUCGUGCCGUUGGCCUCAAAGUCAUCUGUCCCAUUUGUAAAGCGCAGCUAGCAAAUCAAAACCAACUUGUGGAUCACUAUGGGUCUAAGCAUCCAAAGGAAAAGGCUCCAAGUAACUCAGAAUAACAUUUCCUGUUUCUUGGGAAGCUUCUUGCUUUUGUUCUCAAACCUUUGAAUCAAUCAGUAAAAACUCUGUUAAAAAAGGCAAGAGUCCAAGCUGGUGAUGGCUGCUUUGUGAAAUAGAUUGAACAUUCUCUGUGAAUAGUGUAAGCAACAAAACAAUAAAAAUCUAAAAGAGGAUGGAUGGUUUGGUUAUGCUUACUAGCUGCAAAAGUUAACGGGUCAUUUGCACUUUUGUCCAUAUUUUGUGUGUCCUUUGUAAGAAAUAGUUUCUUCGUGAGUAUAACUUUCUAUUUCUGUAUCAUAA